AUUGAACGCUGGCGGCAUGCCUUACACAUGCAAGUCGAACGGCAGCACGGGAGCAAUCCUGGUGGCGAGUGGCGAACGGGCGAGUAAUGUAUCGGAACGUACCUUUCAGUGGGGGAUAACGUAGCGAAAGUUACGCUAAUACCGCAUAUUCUGUGAGCAGGAAAGCAGGGGAUCGCAAGACCUUGCGCUGAUUGAGCGGCCGAUAUCAGAUUAGCUAGUUGGUGAGGUAAAGGCUCACCAAGGCGACGAUCUGUAGCGGGUCUGAGAGGAUGAUCCGCCACACUGGAACUGAGACACGGUCCAGACUCCUACGGGAGGCAGCAGUGGGGAAUUUUGGACAAUGGGCGAAAGCCUGAUCCAGCCAUGCCGCGUGAUAGAUGAAGGCCCUCUGGGUUGUAAAUAUCUUUAUCUGGGAAGAAACAAUCUUAUUCUUAAGAUCUUGACGGUACCAGAGGAAUAAGCACCGGCUAACUCCGUG
rnacentral:rRNA from 1 species